AUGCUUAACACAUGCAAGUCGAACGGUAACAGGCCGCGCUCAUCCUUCGGGGUGUUGUGGCGCUGACGAGUGGCGGACGGGUGAGUAAUGCUUAGGAAUCUGCCUAGAAGUGGGGGAUAACCCGAGGAAACUCGGGCUAAUACCGCAUAAGCCCUACGGGGGAAAGCGGGGGACUCUUCGGAACCUCACGCUUUUGGAUGAGCCUAAGUCGGAUUAGCUUGAUGGUGAAGUAAAAGCUCACCAUGGCGACGAUCCGUAGCUGGUCUGAGAGGACGAUCAGCCACACUGGGACUGAGACACGGCCCAGACUCCUACGGGAGGCAGCAGUGGGGAAUAUUGGACAAUGGGGGCAACCCUGAUCCAGCAAUGCCGCGUGUGUGAAGAAGGCCUGCGGGUUGUAAAGCACUUUCAGUAGGGAAGAAAAGCUCGAGGUUAAUACUCUCGGGCCGUGACGUAACCUAAAGAAGAAGCACCGGCUAACUCCGUGCCAGCAGCCGCGGUAAUACGGAGGGUGCGAGCGUUAAUCGGAAUUACUGGGCGUAAAGCGCGCGCAGGCGGCUGGGUCAGUCGGAUGUGAAAGCCCCGGGCUUAACCUGGGAAUUGCAUUCGAUACUGCCCAACUAGAGUAUUGGAGAGGGAAGUGGAAUUUCCGGUGUAGCGGUGAAAUGCGUAGAUAUCGGAAGGAACACCAGUGG
rnacentral:rRNA from 1 species